rnacentral:rRNA from 1 species
GACGAACGCUGGCGGCGUGCCUAAUACAUGCAAGUCGAACGCUUUUUCUUUCAUCGGAGCUUGCUCCACCGAAAGAAAAAGAGUGGCGAACGGGUGAGUAACACGUGGGUAACCUGCCCAUCAGAAGGGGAUAACACUUGGAAACAGGUGCUAAUACCGUAUAACACUAUUUUCCGCAUGGAAGAAAGUUGAAAGGCGCUUUUGCGUCACUGAUGGAUGGACCCGGGGUGCAUUAGCUAGGUGGUGAGGUAACGGCUCACCAAGGCAACGAUGCAUAGCCGACCUGAGAGGGUGAUCGGCCACACUGGGACUGAGACACGGCCCAGACUCCUACGGGAGGCAGCAGUAGGGAAUCUUCGGCAAUGGACGAAAGUCUGACCGAGCAACGCCGCGUGAGUGAAGAAGGUUUUCGGAUCGUAAAACUCUGUUGUUAGAGAAGAACAAGGAUGAGAGUAAAAUGUUCAUCCCUUGACGGUAUCUAACCAGAAAGCCACGGCUAACUACGUGCCAGCCGCCGCAGUAA